AGUGCCUUAUCCAAUCAGACAAUGCCCAGUGUACUUACUGCCUUUAUAAGCAGCCACGGAGAACGCCUCGGCCUCUUCCGCAUGUAACUAGUUAAGCAAUCCCCAUUAAAGCGCUGUCAGAAGAACUCCGGUUGCCGGGUCUUCCUUGCUGGCGAGGCGGGCGCGACACUACCGGCGGUGUCAUGUCCAGUGUCUGGCACCAAGGAACCGAACUCUGCCAGCUGGGAAGUUCUGCCGCAAACAGUUCUCAGGACUCCUUGUUCCCAUUCAACUGAGGACCCUCAAGGGGCCGUCUGGAGUACAGAACUUGGAUUUAGAGGCAGCUCAUCCCACUGGGCAGAAUCAUCAUUUCAAAAUGGAAUUCUGAACUCACGGGUCCAAUGUAUGAAAGGCUCAGGGAUCGGCAUUUGCUCCUAAGUCAGCUGUGACAGCGGCUGUCCCCACACAAAACAUUUUCCCCUGUAAAAAUCUCAUGCAAGUUCAAAAUAGCUUCACACAAUACUUGUGCUUCUCCCAGGGAUGGUUUUUUCUCUCUCUCUCUUUUUUUUUUAAUCUUUGACCUACUUUUCCUUCAUGUGCAAAAUACCUAAUGAGUAAUAACAACUUCAGAGAGGGUAGCGCCAGAGGAAACUGCGUUGAAGGAACGCCUUAAGAGAAUGACUGGCUCUGAAGUCCUCAAACUCAAUGGGCUUUCUCGCCAUGGCAGGAACACGGGCGUCCAUCUGAGCCAGAGGUUUGUUGAAGAUUCCUGUGCCUGAACUUGUCCCUGAUAAAUAGCCAGGUCAUUGCAGAGGUGGCUAAUGGUGGAGACAGACAGAGGGGCUGACACACACGUGCACAUGCGUGUUCACAAACCCACCCUACACCCACCCAGAGCUACUGGCGCUGUAAAGAGAAUGCUUUGGGGUCUGGAACGGUGGCUACUGUCUGAAGAUGUUCUUCUAGAACAGAUUCUGGCAACGACAGAUCUGCCCAGAAGGGGCACAGACACCCUUCCCAGCCUCUAGAGCUCCAGCCUCUAGAAUCUCAGAAAGGACAGAGGAAGAGAGAAGUGGCCACGGAAUUCACUCACACGCUACUCUCCAGUCUGUCACUGUGAGAACAGCUGCUGCCUCAGACCUCCCUUGGGCCUUGAGCAUGUGUCUGUUCCCUUGAACAGGAAAUCAGAAGAGAUGUCCUUCCACAUAGGGGAUGGGCUUCUGGAAAUUAUGUAAGCAUUUCUUCCCUCCAAACCACUCGCCCAAACCACUCGCCACCUUUCUUUAGCAGGAUGGCUCCUCUAUGCGGCCUCCUGAUGGAGGAAAUGUACGGAGGCACCAGCUGGGCCCCAACAGGAGUGGCCUAGAACCACACAGACCCAGGUUCAAAUCCCACUUCCAGCAGCUAUCAGCUGUGAAGUCUUGGGCAAGUCUCCUUCCUGUGCCUCAGUUUCUCCAAUGUCACCGUCUGCUAAAAGAUGAUAAUAACACCUACCUUCAGUGCUCUGAGGGUUAAAGAUAAUUGAUAUAUAAUCACUUAACAGGGGAUGCCGUCAAUAAGUAGUAGCUAUGAUGGCAAGCAAGACACGGUCCUUGCAUUCAGGGAGAUGCAGUUCAGUGGCCUUGAGGUUAGCUACGAGACUGCUGGGCUUGAGAUGGACCUGGAGGCUUUCUUGGCCUAAGACUAGGUUCAGGAAGCAAAGCUGUGUGUGAUGGGUGUGGUGGAGUGAUUGCUAAGGUGUGUGUUUGCAGUUUGUUCCCCAUGUGUCACCCCUAUUUUUCAGGAGGCAGCCUGCUUGACUUUACCUUGCCCUCUUGGCUUUUGUUUUUUGGGAAUCCUGAGCUUCUCAAAGGGUGUGGGGAGAGAGACCAAGUGUGCUCAUUAGUUAACUCCCAACUCUGGCAAGAAAUAGGAAUAAGAUUUCACUUGCUUUAAAUGCAAUGAAGUAGAGCUUCCCCACACCUCUGGGAGGCCCCAGCUUCUCUUCCUGGCUAGCGAGCUGCUUCCUCUGAGAGCUUCUCCCUCCUCCAGAGCAGCGAGCGUUCUGUGGACCUUGGCUUACCAAGCUGGGUCAAGGAAAGGAGCCCCUUUCCAGGCUUCGACUGCCCAAAAACUCAGUGAAGUUGGGGCCUCUCUGCUUUCUGGCCCACAAAGCACAGCAGGUCCCAUCCAAAUGCAGCCAGACAUGUCCUGCCAGGGUCCCAUUUCCCACAGGUGCUCUUGUGAUAGGUAUGAAGCUACACCGACUGCAGGUGCACCCCUCCCCAAAGCUGUGCCCACCCAUCUCCGACUCUCCUGGGCUGACUUCAGGUCCCCGGGGCCAGAGGGUACCCAGAGCACACCUGGCUGGUCCCUUGUUCUUAAUUAGUGUCACUGCAGAGCCAGCAUGCAGGAGGAGUUGACUGGCAGGAGAACAACUGAGCACACAUUGCAAGGGGCGCUGGGACAUGUGCCUUGGAGCCAGCAGCCUCCCCGCCCCGCUGAGAACCGGAACUGCAGCGGUUGGCUAGGGCUGCCAUACCAAGCUACCACAGACCGGGUGUCCUAAACAACAAACCUUGAUUUUUCCAACAGUUAUGGAGGCUGGAAGUCCAAGAUCAAGGUGUCCUAAGGUCUGGUUUCUUCUGAGGUCUCUACCCUUGGCUUACAGAAGGCCAUCCUCAGGUUCACGUGACAUUCUUCCUCUAUUCGCUUUUCUGUGUCCAAAUUUCCCCUUUUCACAAGGACACCAGUCAUACGGGAUUAGGGAUUCCACCCCCCCCCCACCCUGUGACCUCAUUUUACCUUAAUUAUCUCUUUAAAUACUUAUUGUCCAAAUACAGUCCCAUUCUGAGGUACUAUGGGUUAGAACUUUAAUAUGUAAAGUUUGGGGAGACACAGUUCAGCCCCUAACAGGAAGACUGACUAAAACCAGAGGGUCUCCAUGAAAGAACCCAGACCUUCUAGAAAGUUCUACCUUUUCUCAUUGCUUCUGGGUUUGGUCUGUUGUUUCAUUAGGCAAAUGCCAGAAAAAGAGGGAAUGAGUCAUAUAUAUAUUUGUGUGUUUUUAAUAGACCUACAAAAGACCAAGUAGCCCCAACCAGGCUGUUUUCAACCACAAAUGAAGGGAGAAGAAUGGAAGCUUUGAUACCCUCUUUCAGCUUGACCAGAAAAAAACAAGUCCUAAAAGCCAGUUUCCUUUAACUUCAAUGGUAAUAAUUCCUACUCCUUCUUGGGUUUUCAAACCAAAGGGCCAGGUUAAAAAGCAAAGCAAAAAUUGCUCUGUAAAUCCAAAGAGGGUGGAUUUCACCUUCAGAGGCCUGCGAGAACAGAGCCCUGCGGGGACAGAUGACAAGCCUCCCGCACUGAAGGAUGCUCGCUGGAGUCCAUGCUGCUAAGUGCGGCACUUGCCUCCCAGGGAACCGUGCCCUCCUGACCCAGAGCCCCUCCUUCCUCCCACAGGGGGUGCCUGAGAGAACAGAGAGAAAGGAAACUGGCCAAGGAGAGCUCAGGUUCUGUUGCCUUCUAGUAGAACCAGGCUUAGGAAACAGCGAAUUAUGAGCUAUAAUUUCAGGGAUGCUUGGAAGAUGCCCUCUCCAAGCUAAAAGAUUUCCAGAAUUCCCACCAUUAAAGUUUAUUUCUUGGAUAGAUGGAUUAUCUCCCAUUAUUUGCAAAUGCACCUUGAAAGGUGUCCCUUGUGUAUAGGAAGAACACUAGUGAGUAGACAGGCAGGUUUUAGAACUAAACCCGUGUUCUUGUCAUGUCUCUUCUGUCUCCUAGCUGUGUGACCUUGCGCAGAAUACCUAACCUCUCUGAGCAUGGAUAGACUCAUGCAAAGCUGCCUCAUAGAGAUAAUGAACUUAAAGCCAUUUAGACAAAAUGCAUGCUGAAUAAAUACUGGCUGCAUCCCACCAAUUUUAAUAUGUUGUGUUAUUAUUUUCUUUCAAUUCCAUGUAUUUUAAAAUUUCCAUUUAGAUCAUUGCAAUUCAGAGUCUAGACUCUGGUAGUUAAACUCUCAGGAUUUGAAGCCCAUCUCUGCCAAUUGCUACCUGUAUGACUUUGGGUAAAUGAGUUAAUCAUUCUCUGCCUCAGUUUCCUUACCUGUAAAGUAGGAUCGAAAUUGUACCUUCCUCUUAAGGUUGUGGGGACAAAUGACUUGAUAUGGAUAAAGUACUUGGAACAGUUCCUGACACUUACUACAUAAGUAUUUAUUACCUUUAACACAUCGGUCAUUGCCUCCUUCUUGUGAAUUACCUCAAGAGCACCUUUUUCCUUGUGAUAGUUAAGCUAAGUGUUUUGAAGAAAACAAUAUUUCUUUAGUGUAAAUGUUAAGUGGGUGAAUAUUUCCUUCUCUCUUUUGGAUUCUUCCAUUUUAGAAGUCUUUGGUGUAUGCCCUGUCUCCACUCCCCCUCCACUCCCAGGCCAAAAACCUCCAGUGUUGUUUACCUGUUAAAAUGACUCAGUCUAUUAAGUUACAGAACCCAGAAGAUUGACCCAAAACAAGAUCAAGGCAUCUCUGAAAUCUGGUAGUCUUCCAGCCACACACCUGAGAUACAUGACAUGUCCUGUAAAUCUUUAAUUUAAUAAUGCCUAGAGGGGUGGGGCAGCAAAUACUGCCCUUUUUCACCAGAUGCUGCCGCAGUGUCUGGGUAACUUGGGAUCACUUCCACUUGCUCAUUCCACUGUUCCCAAAGACAUGUGUCUGACUUGUGGAAAAUGACAAAAGCUGCCCGGCUAUGAGUUUAGGGGGUCAGAUUUAACCUAGUGUUAUUUUUUUCAAACUGUGUCCAUUGGCUCUCUGGGGUUCCUGACAUGAACUAUCGGGAUUCUUGAACCUAAAGCCUAAUUCUUGAAAAUAAAGUCCUGUAACAGGACUCAGUAUCUCAUUUCACUAUCACCAGAUCUUCCCCCAGAGCCCAAUCUAUAAAAUUGGGAAACUUUGUCUUCAGCACACUCACACCCCCUUUUUGUUCACCCCCUGACUUGAGCAGGACAAGCCUUGGAGUGCCUGCCACUACCAUGGUCCUCUUCCUAUGAGUUCCUCCCACCAUGGGCUGCCAUGUUGAAACCAUGGUCAUGUGAUCUCAUGGUCACAGCUGAUUGGACAGUGGAUAGACAGCAUGGCCAGUGCCUAUUCCAUAGACUCACUCCUUGGGGAAUGUGAAUGUGAAACAGGGAGAGGCAAUUGAGAGCUUGAUGGUGGGAAGAGAAGCUCAACCUCCAUCAGAGGGAAGCCAAUGCUCAGCAACCAUGAGUUGAGAAUCCGUGAAUGAGCAUGAGCAGAGGCUGCAAGGAGCAGAGGCCGGGAGGCAGAUGAAAGAGAGAGAAAGCCCAGGCAUGGUGGUGCACAUCUAUAGUCCCAACUACUCAGGAGACU